rfam:Dipodomys ordii contig_72240, whole genome shotgun sequence.
GGCGCUGUGGCUCAAGUGGUAGAGCGCUAGCCUGAAGAGCUGAGGGACAGCACCA